UAUCUAUCCUGUGUGUGUAAAGAAGAGUUCAAUGUGUCUUUCACCUGCCAGACUUUCAAGAGGUGCAAUAUGUCACAUUAAAAUUUGUAGAACAUUGGAUGAAUGUCUGAUCAGUUCAAAAUGACUGUUUGCUAUGUCUACAUGAGACCAGAUAAUUUUGAAAACGCCAGUUUCACAUAAAAACAAUCGGCGUCCACACCAGGCGUUUUUGAAAAUACCUCCGUCCACGUUACAACGGGUAUUUGGGCGAAUCUCCUCCUAUUGGGCAUGCGCAGGACACAUCUACAGAAAACAAGCGAAGAGGAAACGGUAUUCUAUUUC